GGCGAGUGAAGCGGGAACAGCUCAAAUUUGAAAUCUGGCCCUUGGGUCCGAGUUGUAAUUUGCAGAGGAUGCUUUUGGUGCGGUGCCUUCCGAGUUCCCUGGAACGGGACGCCUUAGAGGGUGAGAGCCCCGUACGGUUGGACACCAAGCCUAUGUAAAGCUCCUUCGACGAGUCGAGUAGUUUGGGAAUGCUGCUCAAAAUGGGAGGUAUAUUUCUUCUAAAGCUAAAUAUUGGCCAGAGACCGAUAGCGCACAAGUAGAGUGAUCGAAAGAUGAAAAGCACUUUGAAAAGAGGGUUAAAUAGCACGUGAAAUUGUUGAAAGGGAAGGAUUUAUGACCAGACUUUUUCUAGGGGGAUCAUCCGGUGUUCUCACCGGUGCACUUCCCCUAGUUGAGGCCAGCAUCGGUUUCUGUCGAGGGAUAAAAGCUUUAGGAAUGUGGCUCCCUCCGGGGAGUGUUAUAGCCUGUUGCAUAAUACCUUGACGGGGACCGAGGUUCGCGCAUUGCAAGGAUGCUGGCGUAAUGGUUAUUAAUCACCCGUCUUGAAACACGGACCAAGGAGUCGAACAUUUGUGCGAGUGUUUGGGUGUUAAACCCUCACGCGUAAUGAAAGUGAACGGAGGUGAGAGCCCUUCGGGGUGCAUCAUCGACCGAUCCUGAUGUCUUCGGAUGGAUUUGAGUAAGAGCAUUAAUGUUCGGACCCGAAAGAUGGUGAACUAUGCGUGGAUAGGGUGAAGCCAGAGGAAACUCUGGUGGAGGCUCGCAGCGGUUCUGACGUGCAAAUCGAUCGUCAAAUCUGCGCAUGGGGGCGAAAGACUAAUCGAACCAU
rnacentral:rRNA from 1 species